rnacentral:lncRNA from 1 species
AGAGGUUGAGAUUUUCCGCCCACCCGGAGACACCAGAACAGCUGGGUUCAGCGCUGAAGUAUCAGUCCAGUCUUGACAGUGACAACAUGCCAGGGUUCGGAGCGACCGUGGCCAUCGGCCUGACCGUCUUCGUGGUGUUUAUCGCUACCAUCAUUGUGUGCUUUACCUGCUCCUGCUGCUGUCUAUAUAAGAUGUGCUGCCGCCCACGACCUGUCGUGUCCAACACCACAACUACUACCGUGGUUCACACCGCUUACCCUCAGCCUCAACCUGUGGCCCCCAGCUAUCCUGGACCAACAUACCAGGGCUACCAUCCCAUGCCCCCCCAGCCAGGAAUGCCAGCAGCACCCUACCCAACGCAGUACCCUCCACCCUACCUGGCCCAGUCCACAGGGCCACCAGCCUAUCAUGAGACGUUGGCUGGAGCCAGCCAGCCUCCAUACAACCCGGCCUACAUGGAUCCCCCAAAGGCAGUUCCCUGAGCCUGCCCCCAGCCUCUUUGGCUAACAUUUGAUUAUGUCAUGUGUGUGUGAGUGCUAUGCAGAGUUCUUUACUGCUGUCUGUGGUGCGUGUGCCUUGUCUAGACAUGUGGCUUCCUCUGCUGAUGACCAGGUAGGCACAAAUCUUACCAGUGCUGGUUGGGACCAAUCUGUUUUCUUCCUCACUUGAAAUUGUAAUUUCUGAAAUUUCAAGUAAAUUAAAAACAAUAGGGUAGGAGGUAUUUCCCGCUUCACCCCAAGGUGACCAGCCAUAGCCUGCCACACAUAGGAGAGCAAGCUUUUUGUGGGUCCAUGUCCUGCUUUGGGGAGUAGCCAGCUAGCUGCUGCUAUGGGUUUAUUCCCAGGGCUUGGCUGCAUUUAGCUGGACAGAGAACAAGGGGCCUCAGUGGCAGUGGGUCAGUGACUGAUGUCAGAGCACACUAGGCAGAGAGCCCCGUCCGUCUCCAUCAGCUGUCUGUCUGGACGGUCCCACUGUCUUUCCUGGGACUAUGUAGAGGGCCACAUGUAUUCACUAUUCAGGCUCCA